UAUUGUUGUUGUUAUUAUUAUGGGGCUGCAGCCCACCUUACCCUUAAUUGUCCAGUUGUUAGAGCUUUCAAUCAGGAAGUGGAAGACCUUGAAUCUAAGCCAUCUGCAGCCUGAAGGGAUUCAGAUCCAUAUCUGUUUUCCAGGAGAGUGCCAUAACCACCCUUCUAUAGAACAGACUGUAUGGGCAUCAUCCACUUCUCCUGAGGUUACUCCUGUUUGAACAGGUGUCUAACCCCAUCUCCUUGAAUUCCCUCCUGAAGCCAGAUGCCUGACCUGGAGACAUGCCAAAACCUACACUGGAGAGUUGCUCUCUAGGAACCAGGUACUGGAGUUUUGGCUGAGAAUCCUGCAUAUAAAGGGAUUGUCUAGGUGCUGUUUGACCACUUCUGUUCAAGGACUGGUGUAUGCUGCAUGCUGAGGUAUUACCACAUGAUGAAUAGAAAUCAUUAAGUCCACCACCUGAAGGCAGCCACCCCUCCAGAAGAGCUCUGCAGGUGCUGUGCAACAGGGUUUUGUACUGGCCGUCACCAAGAUAUUGAAACAGCUCCCAGGCAGACUCAUGAGACAUCUGAGAAGUUCCUGGGAGUUCUUGAAGUGGCCUUUUCACCUUUUUGGGAUUUUAUGUAAUCAAGUUAGACUUAGUAAUAAUUCAGGACACAAGAGAUGUGUGAUUGGAAAGACUAUUCACCUGUGUAUGACAGCAGCUGUAAGUAUGUGUGGCUUUGCUAUUGGGAAAGGUCAAAUGGAGGGCUUAUGUAGCUCUAUAUCUAAAGGAAAUCACUGUUCUAGAGGGAAGGGAGAAUGAGAUCAACACCAAGGGAGGACCCCAGUGCAGAAAGCCUUUUUCCCUUUCCCAAGGCUCUAAUCUGGGGAUGUCCUAGGGGCAGGAGGAUAUAAAAUGAUGAAAUGGGGCUGGUAUUCUUGCUGCUGGCUAUAAUUUCCCAGCCUGUUGUAACUUGAAGUCAUGGGCCAAAUACAGCUCUGAUGUCAUCUGGAACAAAAUCAUUAAAGCCAAAGAAGCUAUAUCCGCUUACUCCAG